AGCAGCCGCGGUAAUUCCAGCUCCAAUAGCGUAUAUUAAAGUUGUUGCAGUUAAAAAGCUCGUAGUUGAAUUUCGGAAUCAAUAUAUCGGUCGUGCCUUGGUACGUACUGGUAUCAUUGGUUUCUCCUUUCUGACGAACCAUGAUGUCAUUAAUUUGGUGUUAUGGGAAGUUAGGACUGUUACUUUGAAAAAAUUAGAGUGUUUAAAGCAGGCUUUAGCUUGAAUACAUUAGCAUGGAAUAAUGAAAUAGGACGUUCGAACCUAUUUUGUUGGUUUCUAGGAUCAACGUAAUGAUUAAUAGGGAUAGUUGGGGGCAUUAGUAUUCAAUUGUCAGAGGUGAAAUUCUUGGAUUUAUUGAAGACUAACUACUGCGAAAGCACUUGCCAAGGGUGUUUUCAUUAAUCAAGAACGAAAGUUAGGGGAUCGAAGACGAUCAGAUACCGUCGUAGUCUUAACCAUAAACUAUGCCGACUAGGGAUCGGAUGAUGUUAAUUUUUUAAUGACUCAUUCGGCGCCUUACG
rnacentral:rRNA from 1 species